GGGAGGGGGGUGAUUCAAAACCCAACCUCCCGUAGAGAAAAAGGGGGAGUGAACCAAAGCAAUAGUGACAUUCCCGACAAGCACUGCAACACAAAAGACCAGGACAGCGAACUAUCUGGCACGUUUUUGAGGAUACAACCGAGGACACCGAGUUGCUUUGCUAUCGAGCAAACUAACUGACCAAAAGUGCCAAGAUGUCCCAAGCGUUAGUGAGAAGAAAUUCCAGCAAAGUGGGGCUGCAGAAUCUGAUGAAACUAACCGCCCAGAGGAGCAUAGAGGAUGCGGAGGAGGUAGAGAGGGAGCGCAGACGCAGGGCCCGAGAGGAGCUGAGGCGCAGGGACAGUGGCUCUGUGAGUGGGGAGUCUCCAGAGAGCCAUACGCCCACUGAGGACAGCCAGCUGGACGACAGUUACAAGCCCAGCAGCUCCCCGUCUCUGGAGGAGGACGAGGGCUUCAGCGACUGGACCCAGAAGAGAGAGAGGCAGAGACAGCUACGUCAACAAGAGCUAACCCACAACCACCACCACCAGAAGAACGGAGCCGAGGAAGAGGAAGAAGAGGAGGAGUGUGAUCCCAACACAGGGCAGAGGGGCGGCCACGGAGGCAACCAUCCCUCCCUCACCACUUCCAGACUCCAAAAACAGGAACAGGAGAGGCAGGAGAUGGAGAGGAGAAAGAAGAGGCAGGAGGAAGAAGUGAGAGCAGAGAGGGUUAGGAGAGAGAGGGAGAGAGAGGAGCUGGGGAGGAGGGAGAGGGAGGAACAGGGGAGGAGGGAGAGGGAGGAACAGG
ensembl:lncRNA